GAUAAACGCUGGCGGCGUGCCUAAUACAUGCAAGUCGAGCGAACGGACGAGAAGCUUGCUUCUCUGAUGUUAGCGGCGGACGGGUGAGUAACACGUGGAUAACCUACCUAUAAGACUGGGAUAACUUCGGGAAACCGGAGCUAAUACCGGAUAAUAUUUUGAACCGCAUGGUUCAAAAGUGAAAGACGGUCUUGCUGUCACUUAUAGAUGGAUCCGCGCUGCAUUAGCUAGUUGGUAAGGUAACGGCUUACCAAGGCAACGAUGCAUAGCCGACCUGAGAGGGUGAUCGGCCACACUGGAACUGAGACACGGUCCAGACUCCUACGGGAGGCAGCAGUAGGGAAUCUUCCGCAAUGGGCGAAAGCCUGACGGAGCAACGCCGCGUGAGUGAUGAAGGUCUUCGGAUCGUAAAACUCUGUUAUUAGGGAAGAACAUAUGUGUAAGUAACUGUGCACACCUUGACGGUACCUAAUCAGAAAGCCACGGCUAACUACGUGCCAGCAGCCGCGGUAAUACGUAGGUGGCAAGCGUUAUCCGGAAUUAUUGGGCGUAAAGCGCGCGUAGGCGGUUUUUUAAGUCUGAUGUGAAAGCCCACGGCUCAACCGUGGAGGGUCAUUGGAAACUGGAAAACUUGAGUGCAGAAGAGGAAAGUGGAAUUCCAUGUGUAGCGGUGAAAUGCGCAGAGAUAUGGAGGAACACCAGUGGCGAAGGCGACUUUCUGGUCUGUAACUGACGCUGAUGUGCGAAAGCGUGGGGAUCAAACAGGAUUAGAUACCCUGGUAGUCCACGCCGUAAACGAUGAGUGCUAAGUGUUAGGGGGUUUCCGCCCCUUAGUGCUGCAGCUAACGCAUUAGGCACUCCGCCUGGGGAGUACGACCGCAAGGUUGAAACUCAAAGGAAUUGACGGGGACCCGCACAAGCGGUGGAGCAUGUGGUUUAAUUCGAAGCAACGCGAAGAACCUUACCAAAUCUUGACAUCCUUUGACAACUCUAGAGAUAGAGCCUUCCCCUUCGGGGGACAAAGUGACAGGUGGUGCAUGGUUGUCGUCAGCUCGUGUCGUGAGAUGUUGGGUUAAGUCCCGCAACGAGCGCAACCCUUAAGCUUAGUUGCCAUCAUUAAGUUGGGCACUCUAAGUUGACUGCCGGUGACAAACCGGAGGAAGGUGGGGAUGACGUCAAAUCAUCAUGCCCCUUAUGAUUUGGGCUACACACGUGCUACAAUGGACAAUACAAAGGGCAGCGAAACCGCGAGGUCAAGCAAAUCCCAUAAAGUUGUUCUCAGUUCGGAUUGUAGUCUGCAACUCGACUACAUGAAGCUGGAAUCGCUAGUAAUCGUAGAUCAGCAUGCUACGGUGAAUACGUUCCCGGGUCU
rnacentral:rRNA from 1 species